GGAUACACACGGUUCAGUUGUG
rnacentral:miRNA from 15 species